rnacentral:misc_RNA from 1 species
GAAAUGCGAUAAGUAGUGUGAAUUGCAGAAUUCAAUGAAUCAUCGAAUCUUUGAACGCACAUUGCGCCCCUCGGUAUUCCGUGGGGCAUGCCUGUUCGAGCGUCAUCUACACCCUCAAGCUCUGCUUGGUGUUGGGCGUCUGUCCCGCCUCCUUCGCGCGCGGACUCGCCCCAAAUCCAUUGGCGGCGGCCCUUGCCUCCCUCUCGCGCAGCACAUUGCGCUUCUCGAGGCGCGGCGGACCGCGUCCAGCAAGCAACCGUCACACCGUCUUUGACCUCGGAUCAGGUAGGGAUACCCGCUGAACUUAAGC